UAACACGUGGGCGAUCUGCCCUGCACUUCGGGAUAAGCCUGGGAAACUGGGUCUAAUACCGGAUAGGACCACGGGAUUCAUGUCCUGUGGUGGAAAGCUUUUGCGGUGUGGGAUGGGCCCGCGGCCUAUCAGCUUGUUGGUGGGGUAACGGCCUACCAAGGCGACGACGGGUAGCCGGCCUGAGAGGGUGUCCGGCCACACUGGGACUGAGAUACGGCCCAGACUCCUACGGGAGGCAGCAGUGGGGAAUAUUGCACAAUGGGCGCAAGCCUGAUGCAGCGACGCCGCGUGGGGGAUGACGGCCUUCGGGUUGUAAACCUCUUUCACCAUCGACGAAGGUUCGGGUUUUCUCGGAUUGACGGUAGGUGGAGAAGAAGCACCGGCCAACUACGUGCCAGCAGCCGCGGUAAUACGUAGGGUGCGAGCGUUGUCCGGAAUUACUGGGCGUAAAGAGCUCGUAGGUGGUUUGUCGCGUUGUUCGUGAAAUCUCACGGCUUAACUGUGAGCGUGCGGGCGAUACGGGCAGACUAGAGUACUGCAGGGGAGACUGGAAUUCCUGGUGUAGCGGUGGAAUGCGCAGAUAUCAGGAGGAACACCGGUGGCGAAGGCGGGUCUCUGGGCAGUAACUGACGCUGAGGAGCGAAAGCGUGGGGAGCGAACAGGAUUAGAUACCCUGGUAGUCCACGCCGUAAACGGUGGGUACUAGGUGUGGGUUUCCUUCCUUGGGAUCCGUGCCGUAGCUAACGCAUUAAGUACCCCGCCUGGGGAGUACGGCCGCAAGGCUAAAACUCAAAGGAAUUGACGGGGGCCCGCACAAGCGGCGGAGCAUGUGGAUUAAUUCGAUGCAACGCGAAGAACCUUACCUGGGUUUGACAUGCACAGGACGCGUCUAGAGAUAGGCGUUCCCUUGUGGCCUGUGUGC
rnacentral:rRNA from 1 species